rnacentral:rRNA from 1 species
UGCUCCUGGAUUCAGCGGCGGACGGGUGAGUAAUGCCUAGGAAUCUGCCUGGUAGUGGGGGACAACGUUUCGAAAGGAACGCUAAUACCGCAUACGUCCUACGGGAGAAAGCAGGGGACCUUCGGGCCUUGCGCUAUCAGAUGAGCCUAGGUCGGAUUAGCUAGUUGGUGAGGUAAUGGCUCACCAAGGCGACGAUCCGUAACUGGUCUGAGAGGAUGAUCAGUCACACUGGAACUGAGACACGGUCCAGACUCCUACGGGAGGCAGCAGUGGGGAAUAUUGGACAAUGGGCGAAAGCCUGAUCCAGCCAUGCCGCGUGUGUGAAGAAGGUCUUCGGAUUGUAAAGCACUUUAAGUUGGGAGGAAGGGUUGUAGAUUAAUACUCUGCAAUUUUGACGUUACCGACAGAAUAAGCACCGGCUAACUCUGUGCCAGCAGCCGCGGUAAUACAGAGGGUGCAAGCGUUAAUCGGAAUUACUGGGCGUAAAGCGCGCGUAGGUGGUUUGUUAAGUUGGAUGUGAAAUCCCCGGGCUCAACCUGGGAACUGCAUCCAAAACUGGCAAGCUAGAGUAUGGUAGAGGGUGGUGGAAUUUCCUGUGUAGCGGUGAAAUGCGUAGAUAUAGGAAGGAACACCAGUGGCGAAGGCGACCACCUGGACUGAUACUGACACUGAGGUGCGAAAGC